rnacentral:rRNA from 1 species
UACGUAGGCAGCAAGCGUUGUUCGGGGUUACUGGGCGUAAAGAGUAUGUAGGCGGUUGGGUAAGUUUGGUGUGAAAUCUCCCGGCUUAACUGGGAGGGUGCGCUAAAGACUGCCUGGCUCGAGUGUGGGAGAGGAAAGCGGAAUUCCUGGUGUAGCGGUGAAAUGCGUAGAUAUCAGGAGGAACACCUGCGGUGUAGACGGCUUUCUGGACCAUAACUGACGCUGAGAUACGAAAGCGUGGGUAGCAAACAGG